rnacentral:lncRNA from 1 species
AACCCAGUAAAGUGCUUGAACCAGGAUCAUGUCCACCCACGCGGCUCUGUUCAUCAUUCUUGGAAGCUUCUCAAGAAACGCGUCGAGUUUUAUAGGGAGAGACUCUGCUGCGGUUAGCAAACCGGAGAUCUUGUGGAAGAAGAAGGUGGUUGAAGGGAAGUAAGCCUCGAUUGCGAGGAUGUGGUCGUCGGCUACGGAGAGGAUUGCGAGAAGGUGGCGACGGAAGGGACUUGUCAUGGAGGCGAAGAAGAGAAGGAGUUGGAAGAGUUUCUGCACGAGGAAGGAGGCUGGAUUGGUCGGAGUCUUGGUUCUUGUGUAAAGGACGCGAGACAUGGAGAGUAUGGUAGCACCACAGGUCUCAAGAGGCCGAGGUCGUGGUAUCUUUCUCGCUGUUUGUUCCUGCCAUAAUCCAUAAUAACAAAAUAAAACAAGAUAGGAUGGCAAGAGAAUUCGAGAAAUGAACAGGGAAAAAGUACAUACCAUCUUAAGAUGAGGAAUGAAUGCUGAUACAAAUUCACAGGAGAAUAGUUCCAGGAAAAUGUUGAGAAUUUUGUUCUUUACGUAUUGGUUUGAGCAUUUUAUAGGAAGCUGCUUUAAACGUUAGGGGGAAAGUGAGCGGUUAAACUCGAUUUCAGCUGGAAGGCUUUUUGAAUUAGCGGUUACGCUUUUUUCUUCUUUCUAUCCCAUCUUCGUAGCUAAAUUACUUCUUUUUUUUUCUUUAUCCGGGCAACGGGCCAAUAGUCUUUUUGAGUAAGAUUUCACUAACAUCUUUUUUUUUUUUUUGAAACCAAAUUUAACUAACAUUUCUACAUCAAUAUUUCUAUACCAGGAAAUUUAUGUUUCUAUUAACCUCAUAUCUUUAUAAAAUGUUUUGUGGUGUUAGAAGUAGAAAUUUUGAAAUUAAAAACUCUAUUAAUCAUCGAAUUUGAUACAUUUUUUUUUUGAAUUUGAUAAGUUAACUGAGAAGUUGUGUUCUUUGUAGUGCUGGAAAGCGGGUCAAAUCCACCUCAUUUAACUCACUCCGCAUAAUCGACACAUUGUUGAUCCACACUAGUUCUCUUAAAAAUUAUAGAUAAUUUGCAAGACUUAUGGGUAAUUUUCAUUUUCUAAAAUAAUUAUUUUAAUCAUAUUUAAUUAUUUAUUUCAUAAAUAAUAUUAAUUAUAUAUAUAGUUAGAAUAACAUAAUUAUUGAAGUUUAUGUACUCUUAUUAUAUAAUUUUUUUUCAUUUUUUUUUUCAAUUUACAAGUUGUGGAUACCCACAAUUCAAAUUAAGCCAAUUCACAAUUGUUCUACAAAAAAAAACUUGACCCAUAAAUCAAAUUUCUUAAAUAAGCUCUAUUAAGUUAGGGUGUGUUUGGCUAUUAGUGUAGAUGCUCUUCGCAACCACAAAUACUUAUAGCCCAAAUUUAAAGAUUUUUAAAAAUUAAAAAUCUAAAUACAAAGCAAAAAAAAAUCAUAGUAAUAUUUCUACAGCCAAAAAUGAAAUUACAAUUCUUACCAAUCAAAUCUUUGUUAACAGAUCAAACGAGGCGUAACCUGCAGAUAUUGACUCAAGUUCACAGCCCUAGUCCUUUACGGUUUACACAAUGACCAAAUGUAACAAUUUUUGGCAUUAAAUAUUUAAGGGAUCAACAAUAAAAAUGUUAUUCCUUUAAAUUGAUGGCAAGCAUUAGCUACCACUCCUUUCCAAAUUGUUCUCUUAACAGUACUAAGAAAGAGAAUUUUUACAGUUCCCCAAAGAAAUGGGAAUAUACGUUACCUCUCUCACAAAGUAACAACCAAUUUACAAUAAUGAAGAUAUACUUUAGAGAAACUACAAUAAAGCAAACUAUUACACCAGAAAAGUAAAUAUAUCAUUAAUAGUAUCUGAAAAUUAAAAAAAAUAAUCAAAAUAUACUUUUGAUAACCCUCCAAGGCCUUCUCGCAUCAACAGUUGAACAUCUGUGGAUCGACAAGUCAUUAGCCAUAUUACUAAACCUUGCUUCGAGCCAACAGGGCAAAGAUGAGGCGGUGUCAUCACAAGGCAUGAUCAGCAGUCUAGCAACAGUGCUUGACAUGGGUGACACAACACAGCAAGAGCAAGCUGUUUCAUGUCUUUUGAUUCUAUGCAACGGAAGAGAGUCUUGUAUCCAGAUGGUGCUGCAAGAAGGUGUGAUACCAUCACUAGUGUCAAUCUCAGUGAACGGGACUACACGAGGCAGAGAGAAGUCUCAGAAGCUUCUAAUGCUGUUCAGGGAACAGCGGCAGCAACGGGACCAGCCAUCACUGAAGAGAGAUGAGGAGCCGCCAUCACAGAAGGAAGCUCCCAGGAAGUCUCUGUCGGCACCAAUGUAUGUCCAUGAAUCACCAGCUCAACCUUCAGCUUCAGGUCCGGAAUUUGAACCAAGAGUCUUGUCGAAAUCGAUGUCUAGAAGAAAGUCUUUGGCGAGGCCGUUUAGUUUCUUCUGGAAGAAAAGCUACUCGACUCGCCAGUGAGUGAGGGAGUGAAUGAAUGAUAUGAACAACCUUUGUAUGUAAAGCUUUGUUUUUGUUUUUUCUUCUUACAAGUUACAAAACGUCAUCUCAUAGAGAAGAAGAUAUGUACAGGCCACAAUGUGACUACACUCGAUUUUGCUGCUUUUUUUGGUUAGCCAAAAAGAAGAAUGUAUAUGAAUGAAGUUAAUAAAUAGUAAAAGUAUAAAACAAAACCACAAUGUUAUAGUAUAACAUAACUACAAAAGCCUGUUCCAAAUUAUAUAUAUAACAAUUAAUAUUUUCUUUUGUCAACUACUCAGACUAACUAGACCAAGUUCAAAAUGUUGAAAAUUUUACUUUGUAUGGAUUUUUCUCAAAUUACUCUUGAAUUAGUUAUUAAUAUAAUUUGUGAGAAGUUCCCAAUGUGGAUGUCUUUAUGUUCCUCUGUUUAAUAAAACACACAAAAAUUCACUAAGAGUUAAAUGGUAACUUAAAAAUAUGAUAUUAAGUUAUUAAAUAAUUUACAAAGAGAUGAACAGAAAAGUUAUAGAGGUGGGGGAGUAGGACAACAUAGUCUACUAGUUUGUGUUAGUGUUGUUGUUUUGGAACCGUAUAUGAGAGUUAAAAGACCUCUCAGGUGGUGGUCUCGUAGGAAUCAGAACGAGAGCAUGUGAGCGAAUCAGCGCUUCGACUACUUCUUUUCAUGGGCUUCUGGAUCCAACCGUUCUCAAACAGAUCCAAGAUAGGAUCUCCCUGGUUGCUGCUGCUGCGACCGGUGCUUCCUCCACCAUCUUCACCGCUGCUUCCUCUCUGUAACGCCUCCUUGUAACUCACUCUUUUCCCAUCAUUCUCCAGUUUCAUCUCUUCUUCAGACAUCGAUCCUGUUCUGCUAAAACUGCUAUCCACCGUGAUCUCUUUCUCAUUUGUCCCCUUGUUCUUAUCCCUCCAAUGGCCUAACACGUUCACGAGAGAAUCAACCCAGUAAAGUGCUUGAACCAGGAUCAUGUCCACCCACGCGGCUCUGUUCAUCAUUCUUGGAAGCUUCUCAAGAAACGCGUCGAGUUUUAUAGGGAGAGACUCUGCUGCGGUUAGCAAACCGGAGAUCUUGUGGAAGAAGAAGGUGGUUGAAGGGAAGUAAGCCUCGAUUGCGAGGAUGUGGUCGUCGGCUACGGAGAGGAUUGCGAGAAAGUGGCGACGGAAGGGACUUGUCAUGGAGGCGAAGAAGAGAAGGAGUUGGAAGAGUUUCUGCACGAGGAAGGAGGCUGGAUUGGUCGGAGUCUUGGUUCUUGUGUAAAGGACGCGAGACAUGGAGAGUAUGGUAGCACCACAGGUCUCAAGAGGCCGAGGUCGUGGUAUCUUUCUCGC